GUACACUCCUACGGGAGGCAGCAGUGGGGAAUAUUGCACAAUGGGCGCAAGCCUGAUGCAGCCAUGCCGCGUGUGUGAAGAAGGCCUUCGGGUUGUAAAGCACUUUCAGCGGGGAGGAAGGCGAUACGGUUAAUAACCGUGUUGAUUGACGUUACCCGCAGAAGAAGCACCGGCUAACUCCGUGCCAGCAGCCGCGGUAAUACGGAGGGUGCAAGCGUUAAUCGGAAUUACUGGGCGUAAAGCGCACGCAGGCGGUCUGUCAAGUCGGAUGUGAAAUCCCCGGGCUCAACCUGGGAACUGCAUUCGAAACUGGCAGGCUUGAGUCUUGUAGAGGGGGGUAGAAUUCCAGGUGUAGCGGUGAAAUGCGUAGAGAUCUGGAGGAAUACCGGUGGCGAAGGCGGCCCCCUGGACAAAGACUGACGCUCAGGUGCGAAAGCGUGGGGAGCAAACAGGAUUAGAAACCCUAGUAGUCCCA
rnacentral:rRNA from 1 species